rnacentral:piRNA from 1 species
UGACUCAAAAAGUUCUUUGUUUGGUCCGUA